UACGUAGGGUGCGAGCGUUAAUCGGAAUUACUGGGCGUAAAGUGUGCGCAGGCGGCCGCGCAAGUCGAGUGUGAAAGCCCCGAGCUUAACUUGGGAAUUGCGCUCGAAACUACGUGGCUGGAGUGUGGCAGAGGAAGGUGGAAUUCCACGUGUAGCGGUGAAAUGCGUAGAGAUGUGGAGGAACACCGAUGGCGAAGGCAGCCUUCUGGGCCAACACUGACGCGCAUGCACGAAAGCGUGGGGAGCAAACAGG
rnacentral:rRNA from 1 species